AUUCACUUCAUCAAAUCCAAAACAUAACUAAUCUUGAUACUGUCCUCUGUCUCUCACAAAGCCAAAUUAUCAUAUCGACUUUGAGUGUUUUCUUCGGUCGUCCCCGAGAAUUGCAAGAUGAGUUCGGCUAGCAGAGCUUGGACUGUAGUAGCUAGUGUCGGGGUUGUGGAGGCCUUGAAAGAUCAGGGCGUCUGCAGGUGGAACCAUGCUUUAAGGUCAGCCCAGCAACACAUGAAAACCCAUGUUAGAACCCUGUCGCAGUCAGAGAAGCUUUCUUCUUCCUCUCCUGCUAUGGUUUCCAGCAGAUUAAAAAAUGACAAGGCAAAGCAAUCAGAGGAAUCCCUCAGGAAAGUCAUGUACUUGAGCUGCUGGGGUCCCAAUUAAAGAAGAUUUUUUGUAAAAGGAAUUGAAAGUUUCUUGAAGCUUCGCCUCGAUGAAAACGGUGCCUGAUGAGAUCUCUUGUCGUGGAUAAAUAGUUGAAUUGACCAGGUUGAUGCUUGUUUAAUUAGGGGGUGGGGGAGUAUGCAAGUCCUCUAUGUACGAGAGAUUGAUGUACGCUUCUCUCGCAGCAGCGUUUCAUCAUCACCAGAAGCCUGUGCGCGCGCGAGCUGAGUAGAAUCUUUCCUUAAGAAAGAGAAACCUAGAAGACGCUUACGCAAACCGUUCCAGAAUUCCGUGAAUUUUGAGUCUUGGACCUGCAACCAGGCAUUGUGCUCCAGUAACUACGUGCGUGGCAAUUUGAGCAUGUCAAAAACUCACAGGCAGCUGUGAAGUAGAGGAUCCUUUUUUCAAUCACGACCCUUUUCAUUAUGAAUCCACGGUAGAGUUUAAAGAAAUAAUUAGUGGUCUCUGAUGCUAGAAGGGUUUAUAUGUUAGUUUCCUUUUUUUUUUUUGGGUAAAUUAUAUGUUAGUAUUUUAAUAAUGAAAUACCACUUGAAGUGUACAAC